AUGUUAGUGUGUGGUACCCUGCAGGAGGGAAAUUUCUGUAGCAGCACACUGACAAGUCUAGGAGAAAUGGGAAAUAUGGGUUCCAGGGGACAGGGAGAUAUCCUUGGGGGAGUGCCUACCAACCGUCCUUUAGGAAGGAUGCUGAGAAAUUGGAAGAAUAACCCCAAAACUAAGGAAAAAGAUAGGAAGAAAAUGUUUAAAUAUUGUGUAUCAGUCUGGACAAAAGAACCAAUUAAAGGAACUGCAGUAUUUUGGCCAAAAUACAGGUCUGACAAAGAUUGGGUAUGUCAGGCCUUAAAUAUUUAUAACAAAUUUCCAUUUUCGGAAGAUGAAUCAGAGUAUGCAGCUUGUUGGGUACAAGGAACAAAUUUGGUUUUGAGCAAAAAUCAGAAUAAAGAAGGAAAGAAAGAGGAAGAGACAAAUAGUAAAUGGGACCUCUUAGACAACUUGCCUCCUCCUUAUAACCCCCAAGCUGCAGCAGCAGCAGCGGCUGCUGUAGUAGCUUCUCUGAAAGAAGAGACAGGAACUGUAAAUAACAUUAGCUCUGGGAACAGGAGAUACCCCAGACUUGUAAAAGAAUUGGAACAAUGUAAAAAAGACCUUGAGAAUUUUCCAUUCCCUGAUACUAAUACUACUAACACCACUGAAGCUGCUAUGUAUCCUCUCAGUAAAGUUCUGCUGGGACCUGAACAGAUAGGAUAUGUAAAUGCCCCCAUUACUAGUGGAGAAGUACAAAAUUUUAAAAAGGAAAUGAAAUCUCUGAUUGAGGACCCCAUUGGAUUAGCAGAACAGUUAGAUCAGUUUUUGCGACCCAAUUUAUAUUGCUGGGGAGAAAUGAUGGCAAUUCUGAAUCUGCUAUUCUCAGGGGAAGAACAAGGAAUGAUUAGAAGAGCAACAAUGAGGGAACGGGGAAGGGAUCAUCCUCCAGGAGAUGGCGUGAUUCCAGCAGAGCAAAAAUUUCCAAAUGUGUACCCUAACUGGGACAACAAUAAUGUGCAGCAUAGGGGUUAA
rnacentral:lncRNA from 1 species